GUUAAGCGACUAAGCGUACACGGUGGAUGCCCUGGCAGUCAGAGGCGAUGAAGGACGUGCUAAUCUGCGAUAAGCGUCGGUAAGGUGAUAUGAACCGUUAUAACCGGCGAUUUCCGAAUGGGGAAACCCAGUGUGUUUCGACACACUAUCAUUAACUGAAUCCAUAGGUUAAUGAGGCGAACCGGGGGAACUGAAACAUCUAAGUACCCCGAGGAAAAGAAAUCAACCGAGAUUCCCCCAGUAGCGGCGAGCGAACGGGGAGGAGCCCAGAGCCUGAAUCAGUGUGUGUGUUAGUGGAAGCGUCUGGAAAGGCGCGCGAUACAGGGU
rnacentral:rRNA from 1 species